rnacentral:rRNA from 1 species
AGUGAACGCUGGCGGUAGGCCUAACACAUGCAAGUCGAACGGCAGCACAGGAGAGCUUGCUCUCUGGGUGGCGAGUGGCGGACGGGUGAGGAAUACAUCGGAAUCUACCUUUUCGUGGGGGAUAACGUAGGGAAACUUACACUAAUACCGCAUACGACCUACGGGUGAAAGUGGGGGACCGCAAGGCCUCACGCGAUUAG